CGCGUAGGCGGUGGGUUACGUCUGCCGUGAAAUCCCCGGGCUCAACCUGGGAAUGGCGGUGGAAACGGGCUGACUAGAGUAUGGGAGAGGGUGAUGGAAUUCCAGGUGUAGCGGUGAAAUGCGUAGAGAUCUGGAGGAACAUCAGUGGCGAAGGCGGUCACCUGGCCCAAUACUGACGCUGAGGCGCGAAAGCGUGGGGAGCAAAACA
rnacentral:rRNA from 1 species